AUAUAUUUUUAGGGGUGUUAUAAUAAGUACGAAUUGUCAGUUUUAACGUAGCAUAUUCACAUUAGCUGUAACAUGAAAAUGCAACUCCUCAAUAUAUCGAAGUUGGUUACCUGCAUGUCGAAUUGAAGAAAGGUGAUGCAAAAUUAUGUAGGUUAGAUAGGUAAGCAAUAAAUACAAUUAAGAAAAUGGGAUGUAAGAUUUCUGUAU